GAAGAUGUUUUGUUUUUAUUUUUGAACAUAGUUGACUUUGAAUAAAUGAACCAUGCUCCUAAGGAAUUUCUAAUCAAGGUGUUGCUCUAUGAAACAGCCUUUACCCUCAAGAAACGUAUUGCCUUAUUUGAAACAAAGAAUAGACAGGAAGGCAAUAAAUAAAGUGUCAAAAUGCUGGGGUGGACAAUUAAGAGGUCAACAGAAAAUUUAAAAUGCAAUAUAUGUGGUAGAGAGCAAGCCAGGAUUCUAUUUAUUUGGGUUUCCAAACAAAAAAGGUUAACUGUCCUUAAUCUCCCACUGUAUUGGUCUGGCUUUAAAUCAGAAGCAGCUCUCAAUUGUAGUUGUGCUAAGCUGUGCUCAGUCGGUCAGUCGUGUCUGACUCUUUGUAACCUCAUGGACUGCAACCCACCAGGCUCCUCUGUCCAUGGAGAUUCUCCAGGCAAGAAUACUGGAGUGGUUGCCAUGCCCUCCUCCUGGGUUGGGAUCAAACCCAAGUCUCCCGCAUUGCAGGCGAAUUCUUUACUGACAGAGCCACCAGGGAAGCCCCCAGUUGUAAUUACGACAGUUCAAAAAAAAAAGGAGCCAAGAAUCUUGAGAAAGCUUUACCGCCGGACCUGGGAGUGGGGCCGGGAAUGCAGCCCUUCCACAGACGGCGCACUGGCCUUGCUUGGACGUCUGGUGGCCGAGGCGGUCCUGAGAAGCUUCCUCUGGUGCUCCCUGUGGACUUCGUACCACUUGCAUCUCCCAGCUGCUCUUUCAACCUUACAUCUUAUAUCGUUUUUACUGGAUUACUGUACACCCCAUAUCACAGAGAAAAUAAAUGUCACCAGAAAUGGGCAUCUUGGAACUUUCUGCCCAGUAUUGCUGUGAUAUUGUGAUAUAAUAAGAAAUGCGUAUUUUGGUCUUUGCCCCUGGCUCCUGGCCAGAGCUCCUAAAACCCUUAUAAUCUCCUAAGUGAAAAAAUGCUCUCGCCUCUUUUGUUGUAAUAUUUGGAGGGGAGUGAUAAAAGUGAAAGGAGCCCCUUUCAACCACGCCUGAGUUUAUGCUAAUGAGGUGACUUUUGGCUGGUCUCUGAGGAUGGGGGACUAUUUGCAACUAGCAUAUGAUUAGAGGGUUGGAACUUUCAGCCCCACCUGAAAGGGAGGGGAGAGGGGCUGGAGGUUGAGUUGAUUGAUCCCCGAUAGCCAAUGAUUUAAUCAGUUGUGUUACAUCAUGAAGCCUCAUAAAAGCCUAACUGAAGGGGUUCAGGGAGUUGCUUCCAGGUUCCUGACCUGGAGAGCGGUGCACCUGGAGAUGGUGUGCAAGCUCUGUGCAUCGCAACUCCCAGACUUGCCCUAUGCGUCUCAUCCAUUGACUGUUCCCAAGUUGUAGCCUUUAUAAUAUGUAAAAUACAUACUUAAGUAAAUGUCUCCCUGAGUUCUGUGAGCUUUUCUAGCAAAUUAUUGAACCCAAGGAAAGAAUUGUGGAAGCUCUGAUUAAUAGCUGCUUGGCCAGAAGUGCAGGUCACAACCUAAGCCUCACAUUGGUGUCUAAUGUGGGAGCAGCUUUGUGGGAUUGAGCCCUUAACCUGUGAGGUAUGCUAACCCAGACAGGUAGUUAGUGUAAGAAUUGUCUAAUAUAAGGAAAUGUUCCCCUCUCUCCCCACACACAUGGUGUCAGAAGUACUGUGGGAGUAGAGAAAAAUGUUUGUUUUUUUUUUCUUUUCCUUGCAGACGUUUGCUCUAAUGGUGUUUAUCCUUUGUUCAUUCUCUC
ensembl:lncRNA